rnacentral:rRNA from 1 species
AUUGAACGCUGGCGGCAUGCCUAACACAUGCAAGUCGAACGGGGCAGCAAUGCCUAGUGGCGGACGGGUGAGGAAUACGUAGGAAUCUGCCCUUAAGUGGGGGAUAACCAGGGGAAACCCUGACUAAUACCGCAUGAUCUCUUCGGAGCAAAGAGGGGGACCGCAAGGCCUCUCGCUUCUGGAUGAGCCUACGUCUGAUUAGCUAGUUGGUAGGGUAAAGGCCUACCAAGGCGACGAUCAGUAACUGGUCUGAGAGGAUGAUCAGUCACACCGGAACUGAGACACGGUCCGGACUCCUACGGGAGGCAGCAGUGGGGAAUAUUGGACAAUGGGCGCAAGCCUGAUCCAGCAAUGCCGCGUGCGGGAAGAAGGCCUUCGGGUUGUAAACCGCUUUUGUCAGGGAAGAAAAGCUUCGGGCCAAUACCCCGAGGUAAUGACGGUACCUGAAGAAUAAGCACCGGCUAACUACGUGCCAGCAGCCGCAGUAACAC